rnacentral:rRNA from 1 species
UGGGGAAUUUUGGACAAUGGGCGAAAGCCUGAUCCAGCAAUGCCGCGUGUGUGAAGAAGGCCUUCGGGUUGUAAAGCACUUUUGUCCGGAAAGAAAUCCUCUGGGUUAAUACCUCGGGGGGAUGACGGUACCGGAAGAAUAAGCACCGGCUAACUACGUGCCAGCAGCCGCGGUAAUACGUAGGGUGCAAGCGUUAAUCGGAAUUACUGGGCGUAAAGCGUGCGCAGGCGGUUUUGUAAGACGGAUGUGAAAUCCCCGGGCUUAACCUGGGAACUGCAUUUGUGACUGGCGGGCUAGAGUAUGGCAGAGGGGGGUAGAAUUCCACGUGUAGCAGUGAAAUGCGUAGAGAUGUGGAGGAAUACCGAUGGCGAAGGCAGCCCCCUGGGCCAAUACUGACGCUCAUGCACGAAAGCGUGGGGAGCAAACAGGAUUAGAUACCCUGGUAGUCCACGCCCUGAAACGAUGUCAACUAGUUGUCCGGGUCUUCAUUGACUUGGUAACGUAGCUAACGCNUGAAGUUGACCGCCUGGGGAGUACGGUCGCAAG